GGUUGUCGUUUAUUGGGCAAAUUCUUGACACCGAAUGAAAGCAAUGGCGCAGUUCGCGAAUUAUCACUUUAUUUGGUUGUUAUUAUUCACAGCAUGGCUAUAGUAUUAUCAAUACUUAUUGUUUCUUUCAUUUGGAUUUUAAUAAUUGUUAGUGCAAGCGGACUCUCGAGAAUAUUUAACUGGUGUUUUCAAAAACUCGGACCAAUAUCAGAUAAUUUGCUAGCGCUAUUUGGGGCUUUUAUUAUUUCACUGGCAAUGAAGAAAUGUGGAGGACUGUCACUUGUCGUAACGUGCAUCUUAUAUUUAUUGUUGUAUGCGCUGACCCACAUCGCUCGUCACCCGAUCUUGCGUUUGUAAUAGCAAGCGUUAAGUGUGCCCCAUGUGGCGCCACACGUUAAGCCACAGUGCAAGCCAUUACGAGUGUUCUGCAUGUGUCAUCAAUCCACACUCGAUCGUCACAACAAAUACGCCGAUUCAGCAAUAUACAGGCAUGUUCUGCAAAUCGUUUCGGGUGAUAUUUUCGUAUUUUCCGUUUUCAAAUCGUUUGACAUGUCCUGUAAAUCGUUCCGUUUUCAUUUUUUCGAACAUGAGCAAAUCGUUUUGUCACCCUGUUCUGGAAAUCGAAAUCGUUAAAAUUUUCCCGUUUUAUAUUCGUCAACUUAAAUGAUAGCGGUUUGGAAGUCUAAUAAACGUUUUUUUGGAAUAAUAUUUUUAACAAUGGGAAAACACAAAAACUCCAAGCAAGAGCUAAUUUUAGUUCAAUUAAUGGAAUCUCAUCCAGAUCUGGCAAAGAAUUUUUCGAAGGGCGACAGAGUUGCCGUUGAAGAAAAGUGGAAGGAACUGACCACAUUGCUAAAUGCAGAAGGGCUUCCCCAGAAGGACGUUAAUGGAUGGAAAAAAGCAAGUUAUAUUUAAUCAAGUAUUAAAAUGAAUGAUGCAUCCGUAAAAAGGUUGCCUAUAACAAUUUGGAAUCGAGGGCAACAGAAGGUGGCCCUUUUAAUAAACAUGUAUUAACGCCCAACGAAGAAUGUGUUGCCAGAACUUGCGGAAUUUUCGCGGCUGUGGAGGGCAUUAAUCAUUCCAGAAGUUUUGGAGCCGAAGAAAGCUGCAUCGCCAGUGAGUCGGAGGAAGAGCGUCCGCAAACAAGUAGGGAAGCCGUGGCUACCCCGAGAGCAGCAAAAAGGCCACGAGCCUCCGAAACACAAGACUGCCUCCAGACAUGCAUGACAACACAAGCCUCUUGCAUGGAAAGAAUUUCAACCACGUUGGAUGACGUUUGCAAAAGCCACCAAAAAAUUGCAAAAUCGCAUGAAGGGGAUAGGGAUGAUAUUCGACGACUUCGUCGUGCUGCUGAAAAACAAAACGAGUUGUUGGCAGAGCAAAAUCGGUUGAAAGCGCAAAGUUUGGAGGAAAAAAGAAGGCAUCACAUCAGAAUGGAGCAGUUGCAACAUGAAAAAGUUAAAAUAAAAAUGAAAAUGCUUGAGCUAGAGUCGCCAAAAUGAAUACAAACUCCAUAUCGACACCUGAGUGGAAGAUCGACCUAUCUCGGCAGCCAGUUCGAAAACGCCCUAUCUGAGAAAACUUUUCAAGAACGCCCUACUUCAUAAAAUGAUUAAGAACGCACUAUUUCAUAAUUUUAUUGAAACACUCCCUAUAAGAAUUUUUCUGAAAAACGCCCUAUCCCAGAAUUCGAUUCAAAAACGCCCGAUCCCAACACAUUUUCAAUAUAUUUUCAGCUCAGAUAAGGUGUUUUUAAACCGAGUUUUGAGGUAGGGCGUUCUGCAACCAAAUUCUGAGAUAAGGUGUUUUUCAAUCAAAUUCUGAAAUAGGGCGUUCUUUAAUCAAAUUCUGAA